rnacentral:rRNA from 1 species
ACUUGGAUAUGGAUUCUUCACGGUAACGUAACUGAAUGUGGAGACGUCGGCGCGAGCCCUGGGAGGAGUUAUCUUUUCUUCUUAACAGCUUAUCACCCCGGAAUUGGUUUAUCCGGAGAUGGGGUCUUAUGGCUGGAAGAGGCCAGCACCUUUGCUGGCUCCGGUGCGCUCGUGACGGCCCGUGAAAAUCCACAGGAAGGAAUAGUUUUCAUGCUAGGUCGUACU